rnacentral:rRNA from 1 species
ACGUAGGGGGCAAGCGUUAUCCGGAUUUACUGGGUGUAAAGGGAGCGUAGGCGGUAGCGCAAGUCAGAAGUGAAAGCCCGGGGCUCAACCCCGCGGACUGCUUUUGAAACUGCGUAACUGGAGUGCAGGAGAGGUAAGUGGAAUUCCUAGUGUAGCGGUGAAAUGCGUAGAUAUUAGGAGGAACACCAGUGGCGAAGGCGGCUUACUGGACUGUAACUGACGCUGAGGCUCGAAAGCGUGGGGAGCAAACAG